UACGGGGGGGGGCAAGCGUUGUUCGGAAUUACUGGGCGUAAAGGGCUCGUAGGCGGCCAACUAAGUCAGACGUGAAAUCCCUCGGCUUAACCGGGGAACUGCGUCUGAUACUGGAUGGCUUGAGAUUGGGAGAGGGAUGCGGAAUUCCAGGUGUAACGGUGAAAUGCGUAGAUAUCUGGAGGAACACCGGUGGCGAAGGCGGCAUCCUGGACCAACACUGACGCUGAGUGAGCGAAAGCCAGGGGAGCAAACGGG
rnacentral:rRNA from 1 species